rnacentral:rRNA from 1 species
CUUGUAGGCGGUCUGUCGCGUCUGCUGUGAAAAUCCGGGGUUCAACCCCGGACUUGCAGUGGGUACGGGCAGACUAGAGUGUGGUAGGGGAGACUGGAAUUCCUGGUGUAGCGGUGAAAUGCGCAGAUAUCAGGAGGAACACCGAUGGCGAAGGCAGGUCUCUGGGCCACUACUGACGCUGAGAAGCGAAAGCAUGGGGAGCGAACA